rnacentral:ncRNA from 1 species
AACCGGAAAUCGCAAACCCGUUGAAAUGCGGGGACGCAAAGUCUCAGUUCUAAGGCUGACCCAAUGUUGGCUAAGAAGGCUGGACCGCAGAA